UGAAUACGAGAUGCUACGGCGUCGAAGCAGUCUAUGUCAUACUUCCAAGAAAAGCUCGCACUGUCAUAAACAAAUAAUGCCUGUACCAUAACCGACACAGGUGGGUAGGUAGAGUAUACUAAGGGGCGCGAGAUAACUCUCUCUAAGGAACUCGGCAAAAUGACUCCGUAACUUCGGGAGAAGGAGUGCCUUAUUUAUAAGGUUGCAAUAACAAGAUCCAAGCAACUGUUUAUCAAAAACACAGGUCUCCGCUAAGUCGUAAGACGAUGUAUGGGGGCUGACGCCUGCCCAGUGCCAGAAGGUUAAAGAAGUUGGUUAGCAUUCGCGAAGCUGAUAACUGAAGCCCUGGUGAACGGCGGCCGUAACAAUAACGGUCCUAAGGUAGCGAAAUUCCUUGUCGGGUAAGUUCCGACCCGCACGAAAGGCGUAAUGAUUUGGAUACUGUCUCGGAGAGGGGCUCGGUGAAAUAGACUUGUCUGUGAAGAUGCGGACUACCUGCACCAGGACAGAAAGACCCUAUGAAGCUUUACUGUAACUUGAGAUUGAAAUUGGACUUUACUUGCGCAGUAUAGGUGGGAGGCGUUGAUAAUAUUCUUGCGGGAUUAUUUGAGCCAUCAGUGAGAUACCACUCUUGUAAUGUUAGAUUUCUAACUUUGUAUCAUUAUCUGGUCAAAGGACAGUUUCAGGCGGGCAGUUUGACUGGGGCGGUCGCCUCCUAAACGGUAACGGAGGCGCACAAAGGUUUCCUCUGAACGGGUAGAAAUCGUAUCUAGAGUGUAAAGGCAUAAGGAAGCUUGACUGUGAGACCUACAAGUCGAGCAGGGACGAAAGUCGGUCUUAGUGAUCUGACGGUGCUGAGUGGAAAGGCCGUCACUCAACGGAUAAAAGUUACUCUAAGGAUAACAGGCUGAUCUCCCCCAAGAGUUCACAUCGACGGGGAGGUUUGGCACCUCGAUGUCGGCUCAUCGCAUCCUGGGGCGGUAGUACGUCCCAAGGGUUGGGCUGUUCGCCCAUGAAAGCGGUACGCGAGCUGGGUUCAGAACGUCGUGAGACAGUUCGGUCCAUAUCCGGUGUAGGCGUUAGAAUAUUGAGAGGAGCCUUCUUUAGUACGAGAGGACCGAGAAGGACAUACCUCUGGUGUACCAGUUAUCGUGCCAACGGUAAACGCUGGGUAGCUAUGUAUGGAGUGGAUAACCGCUGAAAGCAUCUAAGUGGGAAGCCCACCUCAAGAUAAGUAUUCUCC
rnacentral:rRNA from 1 species